GCUCACGGACCAUGAAGCCGGAGAAGGCAUCUCUGCUGCAAAUGGUUCAACGCUCCCCCAUCAUCUUCGUCCCAGAUGCUAGCGCAGAUAAGAAGGUG